AUUGAACGCUGGCGGCAGGCCUAACACAUGCAAGUCGAGCGAGCGGCGGACGGGGGAGGAAUGGCUGGGAAACUGCCUGAUAGAGGGGGAUAACUACUGGAAACGGUAGCUAAUACCGCAUACAAUCAGAUGACCCCAGAUGGGAUUAGAUAGUAGGUGGGGUAAUGGCUCACCUAGGCGACGAUCCCUAGCUGGUCUGAGAGGAUGAUCAGCCACACUGGGACUGAGACACGGUCCAGACUCCUACGGGAGGCAGCAGUAGGGAAUAUUGCACAAUGGGCGCAAGCCUGAUGCAGCCAUGCCGCGUGUGUGAAGAAGGCCUUCGGGUUGUAAAACACUUUCGGUCGGGAGGCGUUACCGACCGAAGAAGCACCGGCUAACUCCGGGCCAGCAGCCGCGGUAAUAC
rnacentral:rRNA from 1 species